rnacentral:misc_RNA from 1 species
UUAAGUUCAGCGGGUAGUCCUACCUGAUUUGAGAUCAAACGUUCAAAAAGCUGUCCUCCCCAAGGAGAGACAUCUGUGAGCCCCAGCGAACCUCCAUCGCUGAAGGUUACAUGGCAGAAGACCACAAGCGUAGAUAGUUAUCACACCUGUGACGCCACCAAACACUGGCAAGCUGAUCCAUUUGAGAGGAGCCGACGCUA